rnacentral:rRNA from 1 species
UGGCUCAGGACGAACGCUGGCGGCGUGCCUAAUACAUGCAAGUCGAGCGAAUGGAUUAAGAGCUUGCUCUUAUGAAGUUAGCGGCGGACGGGUGAGUAACACGUGGGUAACCUGCCCAUAAGACUGGGAUAACUCCGGGAAACCGGGGCUAAUACCGGAUAACAUUUUGAACCGCAUGGUUCGAAAUUGAAAGGCGGCUUCGGCUGUCACUUAUGGAUGGACCCGCGUCGCAUUAGCUAGUUGGUGAGGUAACGGCUCACCAAGGCAACGAUGCGUAGCCGACCUGAGAGGGUGAUCGGCCACACUGGGACUGAGACACGGCCCAGACUCCUACGGGAGGCAGCAGUAGGA